UUCAAUUCCCGUCGUUCGCCCA
rnacentral:tRNA from 1 species